rnacentral:rRNA from 1 species
UACGGGGGGAGCAAGCGUUGGUUCGGAUUUACUGGGCGUAAAGGGCGCGUAGGCGGCAAUUCAAGUCAUCUGUGAAAUCUCCGGGCUUAACUCGGAAACGGUCGAGAUGAACUACUGCUUGCGUAGGAGUGCAGAAGGGGCAACUGGAAGUUCUCGGUGUAGCGGUGAAAUGCGUAGAUAUCGAGAGGAACACCUGCGGCGAAGGCGGGUUGCUGGGGCUGAUACUGACGCUGAGGCGCGAAAGCGUGGGGGAGCAAACAGGAU